CCUACGGGCGGCAGCAGUGAGGAAUAUUGGUCAAUGGCCGGAAGGCUGAACCAGCCAAGCCGCGUGAAGGACGAAGGUGCCAAGCAUUGUAAACUUCUUUUGCCAAGGGACAAAAUCAGUCUCGAGAGCCUGACCGAGGGUACGUGAAGAAAAAGCGUCGGCUAACUCCGUGCCAGCAGCCGCGGUAAUACGGGGGAUGCGAGCGUUAUCCGGAUUGAUGGGGUUAAAGGGGUGGGUAGGCGGGCGGUUAAGUCAGCGGUAAAAGCCCGGGGCUCAACCCCGGCGAGCCGUUGAAACUGGCUGUCUGGAGAUGUCGAGAGGUAUGCGGAAUGCGCGGUGUAGCGGUGAAAUGCUUAGAUAUUGCGCAGAACACCGAUUGCGAAGGCAGCAUACCGGCGGCGAUCUGACGCUGAGGCACGAAAGCGUGGGUAUCGAACAGGAUUAGAUACCCCUGUAGUC
rnacentral:rRNA from 1 species